rnacentral:tRNA from 1 species
UAUUAAGUGGCAGACAAAUGUAAAGAAUUUAAAUUUCUUAAAUGUAAUUUUACCUUAAUGA